rnacentral:rRNA from 1 species
UACGUAGGUGGCAAGCGUUGUCCGGAUUUACUGGGCGUAAAGGAUGCGUAGGCGGACAUUUAAGUCAGAUGUGAAAUACCCGAGCUUAACUUGGGUGCUGCAUUUGAAACUGGGUGUCUAGAGUGCAGGAGAGGUAAGUGGAAUUCCUAGUGUAGCGGUGAAAUGCGUAGAGAUUAGGAAGAACACCAGUGGCGAAGGCGGCCUGCUGGGCAGAUACUGACACUGAGGCGCGACAGCGUGGGGAGCAAACAGG